ensembl:lncRNA
AUGGAGGCAUGGGAGGGGCAGGAAGGCUCUAGGAGCACUCCAGACUCUACCAAUACUGUCUCUUGUGGCUUAUUACUACAUUUUCUCUGCUGUGUUGACAGGCACCUUGGAGUGACAGGUCUACUUAUGUGUAAUAAGCGUUGCAGUACAUGUGUUGCAUUUCAAAUUAAGAUAAAGAAGAAAAAGGAGCAAGUGACAUACAGGGCAAAGAACUUUCUGGAUUAAUAAACAUUCAGGUGCAUCUCUUUCUGGAAAUCUGCAUCUCAGGUUGUAAGAGAUGGCCUAUAAAUUCCCUGGGGGGGGGGAGAAGGCCCUUCAAGCCUUUAAUGGAAUGCCUCAAACACUCGCAAGGAAAUAAAUGAUGCGGGCUGCCAUUCA